AUCCAGGCGACGAAUUCAAAAUAGAACGAAAUGCGCAUUCUGGAU
rnacentral:hammerhead_ribozyme from 1 species